rnacentral:rRNA from 1 species
UACGUAAGCAGCAAGCGUUGUUCGGAAUUACUGGGCGUAAAGAGUGUGUAGGCGGUGCUCCAAGUCUGGUGUGAAAUCUCCCGGCUUAACUGGGAGGGUGCAUUAGAAACUGGAAUGCUAGAGGAUGGGAGAGGUAAGCGGAAUUCCUGGUGUAGCGGUGAAAUGCGUAGAUAUCAGGAGGAACACCUGUGGUGUAGACAGCUUACUGGACCAUUUCUGACGCUGAGACACGAAAGCGUGGGUAGCAAACAGG